GUGCCCGUAACUCAGUGGUAGAGUGUGAGAUUGCAAUAGCUUAACUGUGUUAGAUCAUUGCAAGUAUCUUGAAGCCCCGUGUUCGACCCACGGCGGGCACU